rnacentral:rRNA from 1 species
GUGAGGAAUUUUCCGCAAUGGGCGAAAGCCUGACGGAGCAAUGCCGCGUGAAGGAUGAAGGCCUAUGGGUUGUAAACUUCUUUUCUCAGAAAAGAAUUAUGACGGUAUCUGAGGAAUAAGCAUCGGCUAACUCUGUGCCAGCAGCCGCGGUAAGACAGAGGAUGCAAGCGUUAUCCGGAAUGAUUGGGCGUAAAGCGUCUGUAGGUUGUUUAAAAAGUAUUCUGUCAAAGAUUAGGGCUUAACCCUAGAUAGGCAGAAUAAACUUUUAAGCUAGAGUUUGGUAGAGGCAGAGGGAAUUCCCGGUGGAGCAGUGAAAUGCGUAGAUAUCGGGAGGAACACCAAAGGCGAAGGCACUCUGCUGGGCCAAUACUAACACUGAGAGACGAAAGCGAGGGGAGCAAAUGGGAUUAGAAACCCCAGUAGUCC